CAAUAGCGUAUAUUAAAGUUGUUGCAGUUAAAAGCUCGUAGUUGGAUUUCGGAGUGGGCCAGUUGUUCCGCCGCAAGGUCUGUUACUGACUGGUUUGCUCUUCUUCGCAAAGACUGCGUGUGCUCUUGAGUGAGUGUGCGUAGAAUUUACGACGUUUACUUUGAAAAAUUAGAGUGUUUAAAGCAGGCUAUUGCUUGAGAACAUGAGCAUGGAAUAAUGGAAUAGGACUUUGGUUCCAUUUUGUUGGUUUCUAGGGCCGAAGUAAUGAUUAAGAGGGACAAUUGGGGGCAUCCGUAUUUCGUUGUCAGAGGUGAAAUUCUUGGAUUUACGAAAGACGAACAACUGCGAAAGCACUUGCCAAGAGUGUUUUCCUUAAGGAAGAAAGAAAGUUAGAGGAUCGAAGAUGAUUAGAUACCA
rnacentral:rRNA from 1 species